UACGUAGGGUGCAAGCGUUGUCCGGAAUUAUUGGGCGUAAAGAGCUCGUAGGCGGUUCGUCGCGUCGGCUGUGAAAUCCCGAGGCUCAACCUCGGGUCUGCAGUCGAUACGGGCGGACUGGAGUUCGGCAGGGGAGACUGGAAUUCCGUGGUGUAGCGGUGAAAUGCGCAGAUAUCAGGAGGAACACCGGUGGCGAAGGCGGGUCUCUGGGCCGAUGACUGACGCUGAGGAGCGAAAGCGUGGGGAGCGAACAGG
rnacentral:rRNA from 1 species